rnacentral:tRNA from 1 species
AAGAUGUUAAGAAGGACCCUAGAAAGGUUCCGUAAGCA